UUUAGACUAGACCUCUAUAAUGAAUAUGAUCCUUACUGUUUUAAAACUUGACAAUGCAUACGACCCCGAUCGGACCUCAACAAGUGAAAGACUGACCGAACCUCGCCGGAGAAUUCGAACGUGAACUCGAAUGGAAGCCAACAAGCAGCAACAAACUCGAAAUUGCCUCAAUUCAGUCAAAUCCCCUCUUCCGAGAAAAAUACCAAAAUCCAAAGCUAGAAAAUUC
rnacentral:lncRNA from 1 species